rnacentral:pre_miRNA from 1 species
UUAACUUAAAUUUGUAUGGAGUUGGAACGGUUGCCUAAGUUUGCCGCUAGGGGCGCUGUACCAACUGCAUAUAAAUUUGAGUUA